rfam:Drosophila persimilis strain MSH-3 cont1.003264, whole genome shotgun sequence.
CCGUUUUUGUGUUAUUCGCUGAAUGCCCAUCUUGGCCUAGUGAUUGUCAAACAGAACGCACAUUGAAGACCAGGCAUCUGCUCUCACUCCACAAUGUUAUGUCCAUUAUAUCCAGGACAACUACAUUACUAUUAGCGUGCCACAACA